UCUACCUCUGAGAACAUCACACAGAAAGUAGUUUGGGUGGAAGAACCAGACAAAAGGUCAUUUCUGCUUGACCUCUUAAAUGCAACAGGCAAGGAUUCACUGACCUUAGUGUUUGUGGAGACCAAAAAAGGUGCAGAUUCUCUGGAGGAUUUCUUAUACCAU